rnacentral:rRNA from 1 species
GGGGAGUGACGUCAAGCCUCAUGGCCUUACAUCCCGGGCUACACACGUAGCUACAAUGGCAGGUACAGAGGGCUGCGAAGCCGCGAGGUGGAGCGAAUCCCAGAAAACCUGUCUCAGUCCGGAUUGAAGUCUGCAACUCGACUUCAUGAAGGCGGAAUCGCUAGUAACCGCGAAUCAGCAGGUCGCGGUGAAUACGUUCCCGGGCCUU